rnacentral:rRNA from 1 species
CAACUCGCCUGCAUGAAGUCGGAAUUGCUAGUAAUCNCGGAUCAGCAUGCCGCGGUGAAUACGUUCCUGGGCCUUGUACACACCGCCCGUCACACCAUGAGAGCCGGUAACACCCGAAGUCAAUAGUCCAACCGCAAGGAGGACAUUGCCGAAGGUGGGAUUGGUAAUUGGGGUGAAGUCGUAACAAGGUACC